rnacentral:rRNA from 1 species
CAAAGGUUUUAAACUUGUGAGAGGGAGUAAUCCGAUAAAGUUUUUUCAGUUCGGAUUGUAGGUUGCAAUUCGCUUACAUGAAGCCGGAAUCGCAAGUAAUCGCGGAUCAGCAUGCGGCGGUGAAUACGUUCCCGGCCUUUGUACACACCGCCCGUCACACCACGAGAGUUUGUAAGACCGGAAGUCGGUGGGGUAACUUUUGGAGCGGAGCCGCCGAAGGUGGGAUAGAUGAUUGGGGG